rnacentral:rRNA from 1 species
CACGUAGUUAGCCGGGGCUUCCUCCUUGAGUACCGUCACUUCCUUCUUCCUCAAGGACAGAGCUUUACGAUCCGAAGACCUUCUUCGCUCACGCGGCGUUGCUGCAUCAGGCUUGCGCCCAUUGUGCAAUAUUCCCCACUGCUGCCUCCCGUAGGAGUUUGGACCGUGUCUCAGUUCCAAUGUGGCCGAUUACCCUCUCAGGUCGGCUACUGAUCGUUGCCUUGGUAGGCCGUUACCCCACCAACUAACUAAUCAGACGCAAGCCCAUCCCUCACCGAUAAAUCUUUGGCAAAUCAACCAUGUGAUUGACUUGCGUUAUGAGGUAUUAAUCACCGUUUCCAGUGGCUAUCCCUCUGUGGAGGGCAGGUUGCCUACGCGUUACUCACCCGUCCGCCGCUAUCCAUUUCUUCCUUUAACCGAAGUCUCUGUCCGAAAUUUCCCGCUCGACUUGCAUGUGUUAGGCACGCCGCCAGCGUUCAUCCUGAGCCAGGAUCAAACUC